UACGUAGGGUGCGAGCGUUGUCCGGAAUUAUUGGGCGUAAAGAGCUUGUAGGCGGUCUGUCGCGUCUGCUGUGAAAAUCCGGGGCUCAACCCCGGACUUGCAGUGGGUACGGGCAGACUAGAGUGUGGUAGGGGAGACUGGAAUUCCUGGUGUAGCGGUGAAAUGCGCAGACAUCAGGAGGAACACCGAUGGCGAAGGCAGGUCUCUGGGCCACUACUGACGCUGAGAAGCGAAAGCAUGGGGAGCAAACAGG
rnacentral:rRNA from 1 species